rnacentral:rRNA from 1 species
GACGAACGCUGGCGGCGUGCUUAACACAUGCAAGUCGAACGGAAAGGCCCUGCUUUUGUGGGGUGCUCGAGUGGCGAACGGGUGAGUAUCACGUGAGUAACCUGCCCUUGACUUUGGGAUAACUUCAGGAAACUGGGGCUAAUACCGGAUAGGAGCUCCUGCUGCAUGGUGGGGGUUGGAAAGUUUCGGCGGUUGGGGAUGGACUCGCGGCUUAUCAGCUUGUUGGUGGGGUAGUGGCUUACCAAGGCUUUGACGGGUAGCCGGCCUGAGAGGGUGACCGGCCACAUUGGGACUGAGAUACGGCCCAGACUCCUACGGGAGGCAGCAGUGGGGAAUAUUGCACAAUGGGCGGAAGCCUGAUGCAGCAACGCCGCGUGCGGGAUGACGGCCUUCGGGUUGUAAACCGCUUUCGCCUGUGACGAAGCGUGAGUGACGGUAAUGGGUAAAGAGGCACCGGCUAACUACGUG